rnacentral:rRNA from 1 species
UACGAAGGGGGCUAGCGUUGUUCGGAAUUACUGGGCGUAAAGCGCACGUAGGCGGAUUUGUAAGUAGGGGGUGAAAUCCCCAGGCUCAACCUGGGAACUGCCUUCUAAACUGCAAGUCUGGAGAUCAGGAGAGGCGAGUGGAAUGCCGAGUGUAGAGGUGAAAUUCGUAGAUAUUCGGUGGAACACCAGUGGCGAAGGCGACUCGCUGGACUGAUACUGACGCUGAGGUGCGAAAGCGUGGGGAGCAAACAGG